AACGAACGCUGGCGGCAUGCCUAACACAUGCAAGUCGAACGAAGGCUCCGGCCUUACUGGCUCAUGGGGGCGUAACGCGUGGGAAUCUGCCCUUAGGUUCGGAACAACAGUUAGAAAUGAGUGCUAAUACCGGAGGCUGACGUAAGAUCAAAGAUUUAUCGCCUGAGGAUGAGCCCGCGUAGGAUUAGCUUGUUGGUGUGGUAAAGGCGCACGAGGGCGACGAUCGUUAGCUGGUUUGAGAGGAUGAUCAGCCACACUGGGACUGAGACACGGUCCAGACUCCUGCGGGAGGGGGCAAUGGUGAAUAUUGGACGAUGGGCGCAAGCAUGAUCCAGCAAUGCCGCGUGAGUGAUGAAGGCCUUAGAGUUGUAAAGCUCUUUUACCCGUGAUGGUUGUGACGGUAGCGAGAGAAUAAGCACCGGCUAACUCCGUG
rnacentral:rRNA from 1 species